rnacentral:rRNA from 1 species
AACGAACGCUGGCGGCAGGCCUAACACAUGCAAGUCGAACGAGAAGCCACCUUCGGGUGGUGGACAGUGGCAGACGGGUGAGUAACGCGUGGGAACGUGCCUUUCGGUUCGGGAUAACCCAGGGAAACUUGGGCUAAUACCGGAUACGCCCUUCGGGGGAAAGAUUCAUUGCCGAAAGAUCGGCCCGCGUCGGAUUAGCUAGUUGGGGGGGUAAAAGCCUACAAAGGCGACGAUCCGUAGCCGGUCUGAGAGGAUGACCAGCCACCCUGGGACUGAGACACGGCCCAGACUCCUACGGGAGGCAGGAGUGGGGAAUAUUGGACAAUGGGCGCAAGCCUGAUCCAGCCAUGCCGCGUGGGUGAAGAAGGCCUUAGGGUUGUAAACCCCUUUCAGCGGGGAAGAUAAUGACGGUACCCGCAGAAGAAUUCCCGGCUAACUCCGUGCCAGCCGCCGCCGUAA